GAUGAACGCUAGCGGCAGGCUUAAUACAUGCAAGUCGUGGGGCAGCGCAGGUAGCAAUACUGGGCGGCGACCGGCAAACGGGUGCGGAACACGUACACAACCUUCCGAGAAGUGGGGAAUAGCCCAGAGAAAUUUGGAUUAAUACCCCGUAACAUAACGAUGUGGCAUCACAUUGUUAUUAUAGCUUCGGCGCUUCUUGAUGGGUGUGCGGCUGAUUAGAUAGUUGGCGGGGUAACGGCCCACCAAGUCUACGAUCAGUAGCUGAUGUGAGAGCAUGAUCAGCCACACGGGCACUGAGACACGGGCCCGACUCCUACGGGGGGGCAGCAGUAAGGAAUAUUGGUCAAUGGACGCAAGUCUGAACCAGCCAUGCCGCGUGAAGGAUUAAGGCCUUCUGGGUUGUAAACUGCUUUUGCCAGGGGGAUAAAAUUUCCAUGCGUGGAAAACUGAAGGUACCUGGUGAAUAAGCCACGGCUAACUACGUGCCAGCAGCCGCGGUAA
rnacentral:rRNA from 1 species